rnacentral:rRNA from 1 species
AGCCAGCAGCCGCGGUAAUACGUAGGGAGCGAGCGUUGUCCGGAUUUAUUGGGCGUAAAGGGCGUGUAGGCGGCUUUUUAAGUCUGAAGUGAAACGCCAGGGCUCAACCCUGGAACUGCUUCGGAUACUGGGAAGCUUGAGUACUCUAGAGGGCAGUGGAAUUCCGGGUGUAGCAGUGAAAUGCGUAGAGAUCCGGAGGAACACCAGUGGCGAAGGCGACUGCCUGGGGAGAAACUGACGCUGAGGCGCGAAAGCUGGGGGAGCAAACGGGAUUAGAUACCCCGGUAGUCCCAGCCGUAAACGAUGAGUGCUAGGUGUAGGGGGUAUCGACCCCCCCUGUGCCGGAGUUAACGCAAUAAGCACUCCGCCUGGGGAGUACGGCCGCAAGGUUGAAACUCAAAGGAAUUGACGGGGGCCCGCACAAGC